CCUACGGGAGGCUGCAGUAGGGAAUCUUCCACAAUGGGCGCAAGCCUGAUGGAGCAACACCGCGUGAGUGAAGAAGGGUUUCGGCUCGUAAAGCUCUGUUGUUGGAGAAGAACGUGCGUGAGAGUAACUGUUCACGCAGUGACGGUAUCCAACCAGAAAGUCACGGCUAACUACGUGCCAGCAGCCGCGGUAAUACGUAGGUGGCAAGCGUUAUCCGGAUUUAUUGGGCGUAAAGCGAGCGCAGGCGGUUGCUUAGGUCUGAUGUGAAAGCCUUCGGCUUAACCGAAGAAGUGCAUCGGAAACCGGGCAACUUGAGUGCAGAAGAGGACAGUGGAACUCCAUGUGUAGCGGUGGAAUGCGUAGAUAUAUGGAAGAACACCAGUGGCGAAGGCGGCUGUCUGGUCUGCAACUGACGCUGAGGCUCGAAAGCAUGGGUAGCAAACAGGAUUAGAUACCCGAGUAGUC
rnacentral:rRNA from 1 species